AUUGAACGCUGGCGGCAGGCCUAACACAUGCAAGUCGAACGAGUGGCGGACGGGUGAGUAAUGUCUGGGAAACUGCCCGAUGGAGGGGGAUAACUACUGGAAACGGUAGCUAAUACCGCAUACAAUCGGAUGGGCCCAGAUGGGAUGAGCUUGUAGGUGAGGUAACGGCUCACCUAGGCGACGAUCCCUAGCUGGUCUGAGAGGAUGAACAGCCACACGGGAAAUGAGAAACGGUCCAGAAUCCUACGUGAGGCAGCAGUGUGGAAGAUUGCACAAUGGGCGAAAGCCUGAGGCAGCCAUGCCGCGUGUAUGAAGAAGGCCUUCGGGUUGGAAAGGACUUUCAGCGGGGAGGCGUUACCCGCAGAAGAAGCACCGGCUAACUCCGUGCCAGCAGCCGCGGUAAUAC
rnacentral:rRNA from 1 species